rnacentral:rRNA from 1 species
GAUGAACGCUGGUGGCGUGCCUAAUACAUGCCAGUCGAGCGAACAGACGAGGAGCUUGCUCCUCUGACGUUAGCGGCGGACGGGUGAGUAACACGUGGAUAACCUACCUAUAAGACUGGGAUAACUUCGGGAAACCGGAGCUAAUACCGGAUAAUAUAUUGAACCGCAUGGUUCAAUAGUGAAAGACGGUUUUGCUGUCACUUAUAGAUGGAUCCGCGCCGCAUUAGCUAGUUGGUAAGGUAACGGCUUACCAAGGCGACGAUGCGUAGCCGACCUGAGAGGGUGAUCGGCCACACUGGAACUGAGACACGGUCCAGACUCCUACGGGAGGCAGCAGUAGGGAAUCUUCCGCAAUGGGCGAAAGCCUGACGGAGCAACGCCGCGUGAGUGAUGAAGGUCUUCGGAUCGUAAAACUCUGUUAUUAGGGAAGAACAAAUGUGUAAGUAACUAUGCACGUCUUGACGGUACCUAAUCAGAAAGCCACGGCUAACUACGUG